rnacentral:rRNA from 1 species
UACGUAGGGUGCAAGCGUUGUCCGGAUUUAUUGGGUUUAAAGGGCGCGUAGGCGGCUAAUUAAGUCAGCGGUGAAAUUCCACAGCUCAACUGUGGAACUGCCAUUGAUACUGGUUGGCUUGAGUACAGAUGAGGUAGGCGGAAUUGACAGUGUAGCGGUGAAAUGCUUAGAUAUUGUCAAGAACACCUAUUGCGAAGGCAGCUUACUAAGCUGUAACUGACGCUGAGGCACGAAAGCGUGGGGAUCAAACAGG